GCUUUCAUCUCUGAGCCUGGUAUGCUUGGGUCGAUUAUUAAAAAUGCUUAAUAGGAGUGCUUUACAUUUCUGACUUUGUUUCUUUUUUUUUCCUUUCUCGUUACAUUCCUUUAGCCUCCACCAAGAAGACAAAAUGAGUGAUUCCGAGCACAAGAAGAAGAAGGAUAAAGACGAGUCGGCGUCUUCUAGUUCUGAAGACUCUGAAUCCGGAGGAGAGGGAGGAAAGGGCAAAGACAA